ACGCAUAUAGUUUAAUGGUAGAACACCCAGUCAGAAACUGGGGAUGUGAGUUCGAAUCUUACUAUGCCUA
rnacentral:tRNA from 1 species